GACAGAGGGUGCAAACGUUGUUCGGAUUUACUGGGCGUAAAGCGCGUGUAGGCGGCCUUGCAAGUCGGAUGUGAAAGCCCACGGCUCAACCGUGGAAGUGCAUCCGAAACUGCAUAGCUUGAGUCUCGGAGAGGAAGGUGGAAUGCUUGGUGUAGAGGUGAAAUUCGUAGAUAUCAAGCAGAACACCUGCGGCGAAGGCGGCCUUCUGGACGAUGACUGACGCUGAGACGCGAAGGCUAGGGGAGCAAACAGG
rnacentral:rRNA from 1 species